UACAGAGGUGGCAAGCGUUGUUCGGAAUUACUGGGCGUAAAGGGCGCGUAGGCGGUCUCCUAAGUCCUGUGUGAAAUCCCUCGGCUCAACUGAGGAACUGCACGGGAUACUGGAAGACUUGAGUUCGGGAGAGGGAAGCGGAAUUUCGGGUGUAGCGGUGAAAUGCGUAGAUAUCCGGAGGAACACCGGUGGCGAAGGCGGCUUCCUGGACCGACACUGACGCUGAGGCGCGAAAGCUAGGGGAGCGAACGGG
rnacentral:rRNA from 1 species